rnacentral:rRNA from 1 species
CAUAGCGACUAUCGUGGCAUAUCAAUAAGCGGAGGAAAAGAAACUAACAAGGAUUCCCUUAGUAACGGCGAGUGAAGCGGGAAGAGCUCAAAUUUGAAAUCUUCAAGGUUCUACCUUGACGAAUUGUAGUUUAUAGAAGUGUUUUCUGUAGUGGAGUGGCAAAAGUUCUUUGGAAUAGGACAUCAUAGAGGGUGAGAAUCCCGUAUUUGGUCAUUCUUUCUAGCUUUGUGAUACACUUUCAACGAGUCGGAUUGUUUGGGAAUGCAGUCCAAAAUGGGUGGUAAAUUUCAUCUAAAGCUAAAUAUUGGCGAGAGACCGAUAGCGAACAAGUACCGUGAGGGAAAGAUGAAAAGAACUUUGAAAAGAGAGUUAAACAGUACGUGAAAUUGUCAAAAGGGAAGCGUUUGACACCAGUGUUGUUUUUCCGAAAAUCAAUUACGAAUGUUUUGUUUUUGAGGAGUUAUGACUUCAUCGGCUUGCUCCUUUCUUUACUGAAACUUUCUUAAUGCACUUUUCGGUUAACAAGUCAACAUCAAUUUCUUUUGUUGUAAAAGGGUAUGAGGAAGGUGGCUUUCUUUUCGGAGAAAGUGUUUAUAGCCUUUGAUCUCUGCAACCGGAGAGACUGAGGUCUGCAGCGUAGACUCUUCGGGGUUAAAUACACUUGUGCUAAGCUAUAGCCUUGUAUAGACAACUUGUUGACUAUGCUCAGUCAUGUAGCUUACUCGCUUAUGCUAUUUUACCUACGCUUAGGAUGUUGAUAUGCAUGACUGAUAU